UUUUUCCCUCUCGCUACAGCCAAGACAGUUCAUUUCAUUUAUAGUUUGCUCCGGAUUCUCGGCUGUAAACUCGGUAACAUUACAGGCGACGAUUUUAUGCUAGGACUGUCUCCGGUUUAAACCAUAAUCCGAUUAGGGUUUGGGCGUGUGGUGAGAAGCGACACAGAGAUCAGUGAGGGGAUCAGACAAGGGGAUUCAUGCUCUGCGCCAUUUACUGCAGUCCAGUUCAGCAGCCACAGUGACUAUAAACUCUGCCAGAGGGACAGUGAGAAGGGAGCAAGAAAUUUCCAUUGAGGGUAGAGUAGGCCGGGUGACGUCACAAUGGUUAUUCAAAUGAAGGCCUAUGUGAUUAAAACACAUUUUAAAAAAAAUCUCUCUACACUGAUGGUAUGAGUCUCUUGAAUGCUUCA